GGCACAAUGGCUUAGUGGUAAGCACGUUUGCCUCGCACCUCCAGGGUUGGGGAUUCGAAUUCCCGCUUCUGCCC